ensembl:snRNA U6 U6 spliceosomal RNA
GGGCUCAUUCCACAGCACACACACUAAAAUUAGAACAAUGAGGAGAUCAUCACGGUCCCUGCGCAGAGCGGACCCACAGACCCCUGAAGCUAGCCAUCUUUUU